CAGGAAAUAGUUUAUAAUAAAAAUAUUAAUUUUGGGGAUUAAAGAUAGGGUGUGUGCUUUUUUCCUGA
rnacentral:tRNA from 1 species